rnacentral:rRNA from 1 species
CCCUUAGAUGUCCUGGGCCGCACGCGCGCUACACUGAUGCAUGCAACGAGUUUAUAACCUUGGCCUGAAAGGUCUGGGUAAUCUUUUGAACGUGCAUCGUGAUAGGGAUAGAUUAUUGCAAUUGUUAAUCUUGAACGAGGAAUUCCUAGUAAACGCGAGUCAUCAGCUCGCAUUGAUUACGUCCCUGCCCUUUGUACACACCGCCCGUCGCACCUACCGAUUGAAUGGUUCGGUGAAGCCUCGGGAUUGUGGUUCUUGCCGCUUUAUUGUGGCGUGACCGCGAGAACUUGUCUAAACCUUAUCAUCUAGAGGAAGGUGAAGUCGUAACA